AUGAACAAGGACUAUCUUAUAACCGAGAAACAUGUCAAAUGUUUUACUCUACUUAUAUUAAAUAAAAAACUCCAUCAACUUUUCAUAUGUAAUUUUAUUUUUGCCUUUACUUCUAUUCCAUAUAAGCAGGAGGCCAUAUUUCAGAUGCCUUCCCUUCCAUUUGAAGAAAAAAAAAGCUCUGUUGAAUUGGAGUGCUCAUGUGUCUUCAUUUCAGUGUCAACUCAUGAAAGUUCUCCUUUAUACUCAGGUGGAUGGAACCUGGCAUUUGGGAUUCUUCUGAUUUGUGUUAGCUCCCAGGCAAAACAACAUAUAUAGUAAAGUUAAUAAAAUCACAUCAUUCUUCA
rnacentral:lncRNA from 12 species